rnacentral:rRNA from 1 species
GAUGAACGCUAGCUACAGGCUUAACACAUGCAAGUCGAGGGGCAGCAUGGUCUUAGCUUGCUAAGGCCGAUGGCGACCGGCGCACGGGUGAGUAACGCGUAUCCAACCUCCCCCUUAGUAGGGAAUAGCCCGGCGAAAGUCGGAUUAAUGCCCUAUGUUCUCCUUUUCGGGCAUCGGUUUAGGAGCAAAGAUUCGUCGCUAAGGGAUGGGGAUGCGUCUGAUUAGGCAGUCGGCGGGGUAACGGCCCACCGAGCCAUCGAUCAGUAGGGGUUCUGAGAGGAAGGUCCCCCACACUGGUACUGAGACACGGACCAGACUCC